GCCCGGUUAGCUCAAUCGGUAGAGCGUGAGACUCUUAAUCUCAAGGUUGCGGGUGUAAGUUCAAGUAUCUGAUA